GACGAACGCUGGCGGCGUGCUUAACACAUGCAAGUCGAACGGAAAGGCCCUGCUGUUGUGGGGUGCUCGAGUGGCGAACGGGUGAGUAACACGUGAGUAACCUGCCCUUGACGUUGGGAUAACUUCAGGAAACUGGGGCUAAUACCGGAUAGGAGCUCCUGCUGCAUGGGGGGGGUUGGAAAGUUUCGGCGGUUGGGGAUGGACUCGCGGCUUAUCAGCUUGUUGGUGGGGUAGUGGCUUACCAAGGCUUUGACGGGUAGCCGGCCUGAGAGGGUGACCGGCCACAUUGGGCCUGCUCUCCGGCCCAGACCCCUACGGGAGGCAGCAGUGGGGAAUAUUGCACAAUGGGCGGAAGCCCGAUGCAGUAACGCCGCGUGCGGGAUGACGGCCUUCGGGUUGUAAACCGCUUCCGCCUGUGACGAAGCGUGAGUGACGGUAAUGGGUAAAGAAGCACCGGCUAACUACGUG
rnacentral:rRNA from 1 species